UGAUGUGGCAAAAUUUUGAUAUUAUACUUUGGUUUAUUAGGACAGUGACCAGAUUAAAGGAGGUUAUGUUAUUUUCUUUCUCUGGACAUAUUUCAAUAUAUAGAAAUAAAAUGCUUACUGCUGAGACCAGCCUUCUAGAUUUUUUAGUCUGUAGUUAAAUUCUGAAGGCAUGUGGCAACACGCAAGUCAGUAGAGGAUAGGAAAAGGAGACAUUUUUAAAUAAAUUCUUCAAGUUUUCAGGAUCAUAUAUGUCUCAUACAUGUAAAACAAUUAUUAUUUCCUGUGUUUAACCCUAAUAGGUAGUUCAGCUUGGUCACUUCCAUGCAGCAGCAUGGCAGAGAGAAUUGGAAGGGUAAAAGUGAGAAAACUAAUGGGUAAAAUCUGAGCAUGCAAGCAAAGCCUGCACAGGAAAGCAGAGCUUCACCAAGAAUAAUGAUUACUUCAAAAUAAAAGCACCAUGUGUCUAAAUGUCACUCCUUUGUCCCUCUUUCCUCUCCUCCCCUCCAUUUUUUAUUACUCAGUACAACAUCUUAUGUCAUGAGAUAUCUCUUUCAUUAAUUAGGACAAACUCUCCUGGCUGUGUCCCCUGCCAACUCCCUGCCCACCCCAGCCUAGACACUGGAGGGGCAACAUGAGAAACAGAAAAGGCCUUGAUGCUACAUAAGCAGUGUUCAACAGUGUGUUAUCAACACAGUCUCAAUCACAUAUACCAAAUAUAGCAGCAUGCAAACUACUAUGAAGAAAGUUAACUCUAUCCCAGUCAAAAUCAGUACACUAUUUUUAAAAAUAAAAAAUUGGGGUCACCACUAUUUUAGCAAAUGGACAAAUUUCUGACAACUUUUUGCAAAGACUACAUGUUCUAAUAAAAAUUAAAAAGAAAUUUGGUAUCACAUUUUCUUCUGCCAGUAUUUGUACUGUUGCUUCUAGUAAGAGCCCUCCCCAUAACUUUCAGUCUUGUUCCAGGGCCCGUACAGACUGCUGUGAAGUCAAACCCUGUUUCAUGAGGUUUCCUGUUUAAGAACUAUUCUUCCAUUUUAAGAAUUAAUAAUAAUGACUGACUGAAAUGAAUUUGUAGCAAUCAUAUGCUUAAAGCUAUGCUAAGCUAUAAAAAUACCCAUCUAUUUGAGUACAUGAUAAGAGAUGGAUGGUGAUAGUAGGGUUUAGACAGACAGAAUCAGAAGAUUUAGACAGACAAAAUGGAAAGGUUUUUUAUGGCUUUUUUUUUUUUUUUUUUUUUUUUUUUUUUUUUUUUUUGCUUGUGUGAGAAAUAAGCCACUAACCAAAGGUUUAAUGUCUGCCAUUCAAUUACCACCUGCCUACCAGAAGUACACAUUCAUUUACUCUUAUUGAGUUGAUUCUUCAAGUGAAGAAAAGUUGAUUGAAAGUAUAUUACAUCAGAAUGGGAUGGAAAUCUUCCCUGACCUGAGUUGCAUAGGCUGAUUUCUCCUGUUGCACUGUAUCUAUGUGUCCCAUGAAUAGAAAGGGCUAUUUGGAGACCUGAACCUUAAGAAAUGAGGCAGGCAGAAGAUGCAGUAUAUGUGUAUGGAAGUAUAUAUUUAUAAUGUAUUCUUUCAGGUGGUGGUGGCAUGACUCCAUCCAGCUGCUACCUCCCCGAACAGUAGCUCACUCAUUCCCUGACAUUGAGAUUGAAGAGACAAUCAGAAACAUAAAAGUGAAAAAACUUGUGGGCUUAAAUAGACAAUUGAAUAAGUGAAACAAAGAUGCACACACAAAGAAGGCAAUUUAGUAGUUAAUUCACUAUUCCUGUUGAAAAUAGAUGUCCAGCUGCUUCCUGAGAAGCCAGGCCUCAGCACAUGUAAAGGCUGCUUGGGAAGACUGAGACCAUAGCACUGAGCAUCAGCUCUUCCUCCUCCUUUCAUUGAGUUUUCAUUGCUGAGCAGACACUGUAAGAUGAACUUCAUUAAAAGCUUUAAUCUAAAGCUCCACCAUGGGAAAUCUCACAGAGCUAAAAUGGGAGGUCUCCAAAGAGCUUUUCAUUUCAAACUCAGGGCCUGUAAUCUCAAGGCAAGGCUUUUCAGCAGCAAUGAACUUAAUUCAAGCAUUUUGUUCACAGUGGAUCAAUUACAGUAGUCAUUCACUAUAAAAGUUAGCAUUCAAAGAACAUUAAAGUAAUAAAUUAAAUGAACAGAUUCAAAUCUGCUCAUAAUCAGACUUCCCAUAUUUUGUUUAGCUGGGAUGCAGUUCUACAGUGUAACAUGAACAACGCUAGUGUAUUAAGGUCAGGGUAAAAAACGCAACACUGUGAAAAGACUUCAAGGGAUAAUGGUAGAAACACUACAGAAACUUAUCUAAAAGGAUAAAUGAAGUGGAAAAUGCAUGACUGUUGUCACUACAAAUGACAAGAAAGUGUCCUAGCUGAUAGGAUUUGAAGCUGUGGUUUGAGUAUGCCCACUUUUAUUUCUGAUACUGCUCUGCUGGGUGAGCUACCAGCUUGCUGUUCCUCCAUUUCCCUGUCCAUUGAAUAAGGUUAUGCUAUUUUUCCAAGAACAGUGUAAAUCUCCAGCAGAUAGCUAUUUCUCACAUAUCAAAACUCACAUUUCUACCAAAUCCUAAGUGAUCUUCCCAAAGGAUAGGAAGAAAAGAAAGUAAAAAAGAAAAAUUAACUUUAGUAGAAUUUCAAAGCAGACCAUAUCUGUCUUUUUGUAGACAUAUUAGGGUUUUUUGCUUUUGGAUUUCUUUUUGGCUUGUGCCAACUGGGCUGUUUUGUACUGUUCAGUGAAUGCAAAGUUCUUGUGUCUUUUAAUAUUUUUCUUGAAGGCAGAAUUUACAUUUUACAUAAGAUGAUAAUUUCUUUAUGAAAUCAUUUGCCAAAGUACAAUUUCUUGUAGAAAGUCAAAACAACAUCCAGUAUCUUGGGCCAAACAUACAUGCAAAUGGGGUGUGUGUAUUUUUAUGAGGAGAACAGUGUCUCAGCCUUCACCUCAUGCAGUAAAUUCACAGUAUUGCAUGUAGUGGAUGAGAUAAAGUAAAUGUGAAAUUCAUGCCUGUCCAGGUAUCAUGUAGAAUUAAGAAUCAAAUGUUUGAUUUUGUUUCUGUUAAUCAAAGCUCAAGCAGAUACAGGCUUUCCCCAGGACUGCAGAUUUCUUCCUUAGAACCUCUGAAGCAAAGCAUGCACCAACAGAAGCACAAGGGCAGAAAAGCAAUGGCCCUCUCUAUCCCCACAAGGCUAAAUUUUAAACUCAAAUAAAUUGCAUCUAUCAAAGUAUGGGCAGCAGCUUUGCAUAUGCUCUUUCAUCUCAGUGUAGCUUAUGGAUAUGGGGUCUCAGUGUUUAUUAACCCUUUUACUGUGCCAUCCCAUUUUCUAUGUGAGUGGUUUCAUAAUGCCUGUCUGUAAGCACAGUUUGUUUGAAGUAGCUGCCUAAGCUAAAUAACCUUACUAAAAGUGAAAGGAAAUUGGGUUGAUUUGGGAUAGUCUCCAUUCUCUCUUUUGUGCACUCUUCAUUACA